AGCGAACGCUGGCGGCAGGCUUAACACAUGCAAGUCGAGCGGGCACUUUCGGGUGUCAGCGGCGGACGGGUGAGUAACGCGUGGGAACGUGCCCUCUGGUUCGGAAUAACUCAGGGAAACUUGAUCUAAUACCGGAUACGCCCUUUUGGGGAAAGGCUUGCUGCCGGAGGAUCGGCCCGCGUCUGAUUAGCUAGUUGGUGAGGUAACGGCUCACCAAGGCGACGAUCAGUAGCUGGUCUGAGAGGAUGAUCAGCCACACUGGGACUGAGACACGGCCCAGAAUCCUACGGGAGGCAGCAGUGGGGAAUAUUGGACAAUGGGCGCAAGCCUGAUCCAGCCAUGCCGCGUGAGUGAUGAAGGCCUUAGGGUUGUAAAGCUCUUUUAUCCGGGACGAUAAUGACGGUACCGGAGGAAUAAGCCCCGGCUAACUUCGUG
rnacentral:rRNA from 1 species